CGUGGUUCCAGCAAAGAGUGUCCAUGUAGAGUGAUACCAGAGGAGGGUGUUGGGAGGAGCUAUAGGAAGACUGUAAUACAUGGACAGAGUUUGAUGUGUUUGAUACCCUUUCAUUGAUACCAUUCCAGCCAUUACAAUGAGCCUGUCCUCCUAAAGCUCCUCCCGCAAGCUUCCUCAUCUAUAUACUGGUUGCGGUGAAGUUAAGGGGGUUAAUCUUGGGUCAUGUCCGUAUUCUGAAAACGCCGCUUUUCCUUUCUCAUUUCUGCCCACGAGAUGCAUAGAUCGGGAUGUCUUGCAUUCACCAGUUCAGCUUUUCCAAUGGGGAUGACUCAUGAAAGGACAGUUAUAGUGCAUCGUUAAUCUACUAGUUUGUUUAUUUACUAGUUUGUUUAACCCAGACCUUGGAUGUGGGGACUUUAUUUUGCACAUGGAUUGGGUAUAUAGCUACCAUGUGUUUUGUCCUCCUAUAGCCAGUAGUUCUUCAGACAGUGGAUCCAUGGCAGCUGUCGGGACAUGGGGAUUCUCUCAGCCUGAUUACCACUGGACGAGAUGCUACGGACAAUGUAGAGGAUGCCAUGGCAGAGGUUGAAGAUGACCCAGAGACAUUGGCAUCACAUUGUGGGGAGGGGAGGAUUCCCUAACAGUGGGGGAGUGUGAUGCUGCCAUCAUGGAGGGCAUCGCCGGCAGGUUUGGGGCAGUCACAGCGCUACGAUGCGGUGGGCCUCCGGUGUGGGUGGCUUGUAGGGUGAUGGACAGGAGCCCCCACAGUCUGCUGGUUGGGGACGGAGCAGCAGCUUUCACCAGGGGGCAAGGCUUUACUAUAGAGUCCAAUGACAACAUGCUGAGUGCAGUCAGCCAAGGAUUACUAGGACUUGCUGGAACAGAAGCAAAGUGUCAGUGGACAUGACACACUUGGACUUACAGUGGCAGUUAGACAAC